CUACGGGAGGUUGCAGUGAGGAAUAUUGCACAAUGGGGGGAACCCUGAUGCAGCAACGCCGCGUGGAGGAUGACGCAUUUCGGUGUGUAAACUCCUUUUAUAUGUCAAGAAAAUGACGGUAGCAUAUGAAUAAGCACCGGCUAACUCCGUGCCAGCAGCCGCGGUAAUACGGAGGGUGCAAGCGUUACUCGGAAUCACUGGGCGUAAAGGACGCGUAGGCGGGUUGGAAAGUCAGGUGUGAAAUCCUACAGCUUAACUGUAGAACUGCACUUGAAACUUCUAAUCUAGAGUAUGGGAGGGGGAGAUGGAAUUAGUGGUGUAGGGGUAAUAUCCGUAGAUAUCACUAGGAAUACCUAAAGCGAAGGCGAUCUCCUGGAACAUUACUGACGCUAGGGCGUGAAAGCGUGGGGAGCAAACAGGAUUAGAUACCCGCGUAGUC
rnacentral:rRNA from 1 species